GUGGGGAAUCUUGCGCAAUGGGCGAAAGCCUGACGCAGCCAUGCCGCGUGAAUGAUGAAGGUCUUAGGAUUGUAAAAUUCUUUCACCGGGGACGAUAAUGACGGUACCCGGAGAAGAAGCUCCGGCUAACUUCGUGCCAGCAGCCGCGGUAAUACGAAGGGGGCUAGCGUUGCUCGGAAUUACUGGGCGUAAAGGGCGCGUAGGCGGACAGCUUAGUCAGAGGUGAAAGCCCAGGGCUCAACCUUGGAAUUGCCUUUGAUACUGGCUGUCUUGAGUUUGGGAGAGGUGAGUGGAACUCCGAGUGUAGAGGUGAAAUUCGUAGAUAUUCGGAAGAACACCAGUGGCGAAGGCGACUCACUGGCCCGUUACUGACGCUGAUGCGCGAAAGCGUGGGGAGCAAACAGGAUUAGAAACCCGUGUAGUCC
rnacentral:rRNA from 1 species